UACGUAGGGGGCGAGCGUUGUCCGGAUUUAUUGGGCGUAAAGAGCGUGUAGGCGGUUCGGUAAGUCUGUCGUGAAAUCCUGAGGCUCAACCUCGGGCGUGCGAUGGAUACUGCCGGGCUAGAGGGUGGUAGAGGCGAGUGGAAUUCCCGGUGUAGCGGUGGAAUGCGCAGAUAUCAGGAGGAACACCGAUGGCGAAGGCAGGUCUCUGGGCCACUACUGACGCUGAGAAGCGAAAGCAUGGGGAGCGAACAGG
rnacentral:rRNA from 1 species